AAAACAUCUUUUCUUGUUAAUUUUUUGAAAUYUGGCCUGCCCAAUGAUUAAUUUUAAUGGCCGCGGUAUUUUGACCGUGCAAAGGUAGCAUAAUCAUUAGUUUAUUAAUUGUAAACUUGUAUGAAUGGUUUGACGAAACAUUAACUGUCUCGUAGUUAUUAUUAGAAUUUGAAUUUUAAGUUAAAAUGCUUAAAUAUUUUUGUAGGACGAGAAGACCCUAUAGAUCUUUAGUUAUUACAUUUAAUUAUUUUUAGGUUAUAUUUGUUUUUUAUUUAUAAUUACUUUUGUUGGGGUGACAUAAAGAUAUAAUUAACUCUAUUUUUUUUUUUACAUUUAUUUUUGAUUAUUUGACCUAUUAUUAUUAUUUAUAAGAUGUAGAUACCUUAGGGAUAACAGCGUAAUCUUCUUUAAGAGUUCAUAUCGACAAGGGGGAUUGCGACCUCGAUGUUGGAUUAAGAUUAAUCUUGGGUGUAGGGGCUCAAUUAUUAGGUCUGU
rnacentral:rRNA from 1 species